rnacentral:rRNA from 1 species
ACACACCGCCCGUCACACCAUGAGAGUUGGAAAUACCCGAAGCCUGUGAGCUGACGAGUUACGGGGUAGCAGUCGAAGGUAGAGCCAAUGAUUGGGGUGAAGUCGUAACAAGGUACC